UGAGGUCCCUGAAGGGAAGGGUGAACGUGC
rnacentral:piRNA from 1 species